rnacentral:rRNA from 1 species
UACGGGGGGGGCAAGCGUUGUUCGGAAUUACUGGGCGUAAAGGGCUCGUAGGUGGCCAACUAAGUCAUACGUGAAAUCCCUCGGCUUAACCGGGGAACUGCGCCUGAUACUGAUUGGCUUGAGUUUGGGAGAGGGACGCGGAAUUCCAGGUGUAGCGGUGAAAUGCGUAGAUAUCUGGAGGAACACCGGUGGCGAAGGCGGCGUCCUGGACCAAUACUGACACUGAGGAGCGAAAGCCAGGGGAGCAAACGGG